rnacentral:hammerhead_ribozyme from 1 species
AUCCAGCUGAUGAGUCCCAAGUAGGACGAAACGCGUGUCCUGGAU